rnacentral:rRNA from 1 species
AUUGAACGCUGGCGGCAGGCCUAACACAUGCAAGUCGAACGAGUGGCGGACGGGUGAGUAAUGUCUGGGAAACUGCCUGAUGGAGGGGGAUAACUACUGGAAACGGUAGCUAAUACCGCAUCCCAUCAGAUGUUCCCAGAUGGGAUUCGCUAGUAGGUGGGGUAAUGGCUCACCUAGGCGACGAUCCCUAGCUGGUCUGAGAGGAUGACCAGACACACUGGAACUGAGACACUGUCCAGACGCCUACGGGAGGCAGAAGUGGGGAAUAUGGCACAAUGGGCGCAAGCCUGAUGCAGCCAUGCCGCGUGUGUGAAGAAGGCCUUCGGGUUGUAAAGCACUUUCAGCGAGGAGGCGUUACUCGCAGAAGAAGCACCGGCUAACUCCGUGCCAGCAGCCGCGGUAAUAC